UUCUCUCAUCCUGUUUCCACUGCGAACAGCGUUCGGGAGCCCUCGGCAGCAGCGAGUAACUCAGUGAUGGGAAAGGAGCCUGUGUUGUGUUUUGCGAGUAACUUCCACUGAAACGCACUGAAAAUGUAGGGAAACGGGACGGAAGCGCACGUUCGGGGUUAUAAAGGACGUCAGGAUUUGGGACACAAGGUACCUGCGGGACCAAAACCACCCCCAACGCUGCGGGAGGGGGCUGGGCUGUGAGGAGAGGGGCAUCCCGCAGCCUUUCAGGGCAGCGAGGAGCCGAGGGCGGAUCGCUCUCCUCAGAGGCUACCGUGCCGCGGGGCGGGAAUGGCGGAGCCGCCUCCCAGUGCCUCCCGCGAGCCGUCCGCCGCGCGGCUGCAGCCCGGUAGGGCUGCGGGGAGGGGCCGACGUGGAGCUCACGGCACGGAACACGCGCCGCUUUCCCGCCGCAGCUCCUCCAGCGUCAUGACGGCACUCACCCGGCCCCGCUCUCUGGCUGCGGGCAGAGCUGCAGCUCUAAGCAAGAGCUUUGCCCGGGCAGCCAGCAGGCUUUCUACACUGUCGUCCCCAACCUGCGCGGCGUUCUACCUGUCCCGUCCGUGAGGUCCUCUUCUAAUGGAAGACCUACGAGGCGGCAAAGCCGUGCACGGGGACCACAGGAGGAACGCGCAGCCCAGGUGAAGGAAGCUUAGCACAGACGGUGUUUACAGCUCGUCAUGCAGCUACCACUUUCAGAUAGAUGGAGAAACAUAGAAGGAACAGAAAAAAGCUGCUUUGAUAGUUGGCAUCUCAGUUGGAGUUCUUGUAUUGUGCUGGAUCUCCUUCAUCACGGAAUUACUAAGUCCCCUCUGUUCCUGCAACAUGCCACGCAUCUGGAAAAGCAUUUUGCUUUGGCUUGGCUACUCCAAUUUUUCCUUUAAUCCUUUCAUUUAUACGGCAUUUAACAAAUAUUACAACCAUGCCUUCAAGAAUCUUUUCCUGAAGCAGAGAUAAAGGGGGACAGAGAAGGAAAUGAUUCCUUUAUUGCACCAUACAGAGAUUUCUGGAGGGAAACGUGCCAGUGAUACACGCAGACUUCAAGCACAAGAUCUCGUUAAGGGGAUUUAGCAGCAAAGAAAACUGAAGAUGAUUGCAUAUUGACCUACAGUCAGCUUACAGUUCCCCCUUGGAAAUACAGAUAUGCUACUCCAGAGUGUGACAAAGAAAGAAGCAGUGAAUAUCUCCCUUCUUUGAACUGUUGUCUGUUCAAGUGUGCAAGCAAAGAACUGUAUCUAUCUAAUACCAAGAAUGUCAAGUCUAAGCUAAGUCAUCUCAUCCAGCCAACUACAGGUGCCAUCCUGCAGCUUGCUCAUCAUCAGCAAGGGCACCAAGGGGAACGUGUGGAUUGAGUAACACUGAAAUGUUUGUGAUGUGCACAGGAUGCUGGUUUUAUUUUGGGGACUUUUUUGGAAAGGAGAGAAUAGAAAGAAUGAACAUGCUGCAUUCAGUUCAUUGCUGACUUUCUCUUGAUAUUAAGAGGGGUGACUAAGCAGCCUCAAAGCCACACCUUAGUCUGGCUGAGGGGCUGUGUUCAUCAUGAAGAUGAACAAUAAAGUAUCUUGAAUAAAAAACAAUAAUAAAUGAUUUUUAAGAAGGUAUUCUAAAGAAAGAUCAUUUAGCAGUACUUAGACAUAUGUUUAUUUUUCUAAACAUGAGUUGCCAGUUUGGAAUAAACCAGUUAUUUCUGCCUAAACACACUGGCCUCAUUUCAUUUCUUAAUGCUGAUUUUACUCCACCUAGAACUUGGUGGAGAUGACUGCUCAGCAGAAAGGCACUACUGCCUCUUACAGCAAGGUUCCAAGAACCCUGCAGUGCCAUAUGAAUUAAGGCGUAGGGGGCUUUGUGCUCUUGGAAUCCACAGAUUGUGCAAAAAUCCAAAGGCUUUAAAAAAAGGGACGUGAACAUACAAUGUUAAUAGCUUCCUAUGUUCUGUGUCCAGCUCCUACAAUAUAAGCCUCAAUCUCUCUUUCUAAAAACCUGUUUUACCUGAGAAUUGCCAAGCCAUUUCUUCAUGAAGAGUGAUGCAGGCAGAAACUAAGGAUUUAGCCAUGAAAAUACAGGCUGACAAAUUCCCCUGGCACCAGUAACUUCUAAGAUAGUCAGCACCACAGUCAUCAAGAAACCAGGUAUUGGCAGCCUAUGGCAACAUGCUGCUGAACACCUACGGGCACCAAAUCUGCCUGAAGAGCUGGAUGGGAUGUAGUUCCUGCCUGGAAAAUCAUGGAGACCAGCCCACCACCCAGCUCUGGUGGCUGCUGAAUAAACAAGACAGUGUUUAGAAACUUCAGAUAAAAGACUAUCCUAAGUGUAUGUCAGCCACCAUCCAAACAAGUAAGAUUUGUGUACUGUCUCAUACGUGUGUCCUACUUACAUGCCUGAUUUAGGCAAAGUUGGCUCUAAGGAGCAAAUAGCAAUUCCCCACCUCUCUGGUGUGCAUGAAUACUGGCAGUUACACAAAGUGGGACCUAAGAUUGUGUUUCAAUGAGCUGAUUUUUCAGGAAAUAGGCUUACAGAGGAAGAAACCUUUAAAAA